AACGAACGCUGGCGGCAGGCCUCAAACAUGCAAGUCUAGGGGGUGCAGCAAUGCAUCACCGGCGGACGGGUGCGUAACGCGUGGGAAUAUACCUUUUGGUUCGGAACAACUGCGGGAAACUGCAGCUAAUACCGAAUGUGCCCUAACGGGGAAAGAUUUACUCGCCAAAGGAUUAGCCCGCGUAGGAUUAGCUAGUUGGUGAGGUAAUGGCUCACCAAGGCUCCGAUCCUUAGCUG
rnacentral:rRNA from 1 species